GACCCCAGGUCAGGCGGGACUACCCGCUGAGUUUAAGCAUAUCAUA
rnacentral:rRNA from 1 species